rnacentral:rRNA from 1 species
UACGUAGGGGGCAAGCGUUGUCCGGAUUUAUUGGGCGUAAAGAGCGUGUAGGCGGCCAUACAGGUCCGUUGUGAAAACUGGAGGCUUAACCUCCAGACGUCGAUGGAAACCGUAUGGCUAGAGUCCGGAAGAGGAGAGUGGAAUUCCUGGUGUAGCGGUGAAAUGCGCAGAUAUCAGGAAGAACACCCGUGGCGAAGGCGGCAUCCUGGACCGACACUGACGCUGAGGAGCGAAAGCCAGGGGAGCAAACGGG